UACGGGGGGGGCAAGCGUUGUUCGGAAUUACUGGGCGUAAAGGGCUCGUAGGCGGCCAACUAAGUCGGAUGUGAAAUCCCCAGGCUUAACUUGGGAACUGCAUCCGAUACUGGAUGGCUUGAAUCCGGGAGAGGGAUGCGGAAUUCCAGGUGUAGCGGUGAAAUGCGUAGAUAUCGUCAGGAACGCCGGUGGUGAAGACGGGUGACUUGGCCGGUUCUGACACUGAGGCACGAAAGCGUGGGGAGCGAACGGG
rnacentral:rRNA from 1 species